GGUGAAGGAGUAGAGAGAUAUUAACAACAUGAUCCACUAGUAAUAAUAAUUUAUUGGCCCAACAUCGGCCCAAAAUAUUUAAUUUUAAUUAUUAUUAUUAGUAUGGAGGGCUCAUAUAUUUUAAUGAAAAUUUUUUUUCAUCUGAUAUGAAACUAUUAGGCGUUACAAACUCCUUCCGUUUAGCUCCUGACGUCCCAUCGUCGUUUGGUCACCAAACCACACUUUCGACCGUUAUUUACUGAUUGUAACAAUUUGAUCUGCUAGAAAUAAUAACUAGUUGGAUCUAAAUUAUCGGUCCAAAAUAUUUAAGUCUAUUUAUUAUUAUUAACGUGGCUGUCUUAUAUAUUCUAAUCAGAAUUUUUUUUUCAUUCAAUAUAGAACUAUUGAGU
rnacentral:lncRNA from 1 species